rnacentral:rRNA from 1 species
AGUGAACGCUGGCGGUAGGCCUAACACAUGCAAGUCGAACGGCAGCACAGUAAGAGCUUGCUCUUACGGGUGGCGAGUGGCGGACGGGUGAGGAAUACAUCGGAAUCUACUUUUUCGUGGGGGAUAACGUAGGGAAACUUACGCUAAUACCGCAUACGACCUACGGGUGAAAGCAGGGGAUCUUCGGACCUUGCGCGAUUGAAUGAGCCGAUGUCGGAUUAGCUAGUUGGCGGGGUAAAGGCCCACCAAGGCGACGAUCCGUAGCUGGUCUGAGAGGAUGAUCAGCCACACUGGAACUGAGACACGGUCCAGACUCCUACGGGAGGCAGCAGUGGGGAAUAUUGGACAAUGGGCGCAAGCCUGAUCCAGCCAUACCGCGUGGGUGAAGAAGGCCUUCGGGUUGUAAAGCCCUUUUGUUGGGAAAGAAGAGCAGCAGGUUAAUACCCCGCUGUUCUGACGGUACCCAAAGAAUAGGCACCGGCUAACUUCGUG